CCUACGGGAGGCAGCAGUGGGGAAUCUUGCGCAAUGGGCGAAAGCCUGACGCAGCCAUGCCGCGUGAAUGAUGAAGGUCUUAGGAUUGUAAAAUUCUUUCACCGGGGACGAUAAUGACGGUACCCGGAGAAGAAGCCCCGGCUAACUUCGUGCCAGCAGCCGCGGUAAUACGAAGGGGGGCUAGCGUUGCUCGGAAUUACUGGGCGUAAAGGGAGCGUAGGCGGAUAGUUUAGUCAGAGGUGAAAGCCCAGGGCUCAACCUUGGAAUUGCCUUUGAUACUGGCUAUCUUGAGUAUGGGAGAGGUUAGCGGAACUCCGAGUGUAGAGGUGAAAUUCGUAGAUAUUCGGAAGAACACCAGUGGCGAAGGCGGCUAACUGGCCCAUUACUGACGCUGAGGCUCGAAAGCGUGGGGAGCAAACAGGAUUAGAUACCCUGGUAGUCCACGCCGUAAACGAUGAGUGCUAGUUGUCGGCAUGCAUGCAUGUCGGUGACGCAGCUAACGCAUUAAGCACUCCGCCUGGGGGAGGUACGGUCGCGAGAGUAAACUAACUAAUAGUUAGUUAGUACGCGUUGAGACGNGCCGACGGACGACGACGAGGGAGGAGG
rnacentral:rRNA from 1 species